rnacentral:tRNA from 1 species
GGGUAUAACUCAGUGGUAGAGCACAUGCUUAGAAUGCGUGAGGUCCUGGGUUCAACCCUAGUACCUCCA